GCAGACUCACUCUGCAUCCGACUGCGGCUCCAGUCCGGGUGCUUUUUCCGUCUGCUAGAGAACCUCCCGGCCGCCGCAAGGGCCUCGAGUGUCAGGUGCUGCAGCGGCCGGGGACACGGCG